CCUACGGGAGGCAGCAGUGGGGAAUAUUGCACAAUGGGGGGAACCCUGAUGCAGCGACGCCGCGUGGGUGAGGAAGUACUUCGGUAUGUAAAGCCCUAUCAGCAGGGAAGAAAAUGACGGUACCUGACUACGAAGCCCCGGCUAAAUACGUGCCAGCAGCCGCGGUAAUACGUAGGGGGCAAGCGUUAUCUGGAUUUACGGGGUGUAAAGGGAGCGUAGACGGCGUGCCAAGUCUGAUGGGAAAGGCCGGGGCUCAACCCCGGGACUGCAUUUGAAACUGGCAGGCUGGAGUGCCGGAGGGGCAAGCGGAAUGCGUGGUGUAGCGGUGAAAUGCAUAGAUAUUGGGAGGAACACCGAUGGCGAAGGCAGCUUGCUGGACGGUAACUGACGUUGAGGCACGAAAGCGUGGGGAGCAAACAGGAUUAGAUACCCUGGUAGUC
rnacentral:rRNA from 1 species